GUCAGGAUGGCCGAGCGGUCCAAGGCGCCAGACUCAAGUUCUGGUCCUCUAAGUGGGGGCGUGGGUUCGAAUCCCACUCCUGACA